rnacentral:rRNA from 1 species
UACGUAGGUGGCAAGCGUUGUCCGGAUUUACUGGGCGUAAAGAGCGCGCAGGCGGUCGUUCAAGUCGCGUGUGAAAGCCCCCGGCUCAACUGGGGAGGGUCGUGCGAAACGGGUGAACUAGAGGCCAGUAGGGGGAUGCGGAAUUCCGGGUGUAGUGGUGGAAUGCGUAGAGAUCCGGAGGAACACCAGCGGCGAAGGCGGCAUCCUGGACUGGUCCUGACACUCAGGAGCGAAAGCGCGGGGAGCGAUCCGG